rnacentral:rRNA from 1 species
CAGCAGUGGGGAAUCUUGCACAAUGGGCGAAAGCCUGAUGCAGCAACGCCGCGUGCGGGAUGAAGGCCUUCGGGUUGUAAACCGCUUUCAGCAGGGAGAAAUUGACAGUACCUGCAGAAGAAGCCCCGGCUAACUUCGUG